UAAAAUACGCAACCAACCGUCAUUGAACCGUCCAAUCAGAUCAAAGGAGUAAUCGUCGUAGAUCGUGCGUUAUCGAUAAUGUUCGGUGCCUGGAGAAAAUUGACAAUUGACAAGAGAAUUGUUUAUUAUUUUUGACUUUUUAGUUCGUUUAAUUUAAUAAUUACUAAAACCAGUAGUUCGAAAGAUAUAUUUAAAAAUAAAAGAUAAAAAUCCAAAAAAUUAAUUAUCUAUUAACGUGGAUUUGGACGACAAUAGGUUUUUAGUUUGUGAUGUUUCAUUGAUGAUCAUUUUCAUGUUCAUCGUCUUUGAAUUGACAUGAGGAUAUCUAUGGAAAAGUAACUAAUCUGAAAGUAAGCCAACAUAUCGUUUGUCCUUUGUGUGCUAAAGAAAAGAUUUUCUUUUCGCAUCAUGAGGAAGUAUUACAUCAAUUAAAAAAUGUUAGGAAGUUGAUUACUUGUCAUGGAAAAGUAUACCAAUGGAAAUUAUUUGUUAAAGAAGUAUAAUUCUAAGGGUUUUAAGAAUAAAUUGGUUGAACCCAAAAUCUGGAGGAAGUACCUAUAUCCAUACACAGAAUAUGCCCAUUAAAAAUACUAGUCCAAAUUUGCUUUAAUGGUAGACAAUUAUUCAAUACAAAUUAACUUUUUAAGUGACUGAAAUAUUAAAUAGUUUAGAAUAUGGUAUAACAAUGUAAAAAAAUAUUAUUUUCAGGAACGAUUAGGGCCCGAUAUAUUUGAAACUCAUGUUGGACAUAGUAUUGAGUUGGGUAGAAUAUUAUUCUACGUUAAGUGAGGGUAUCAGAUACCUAUUAUUGUACUGUAUUUUAAUAUAUACAUUAGAAUUGUUGGUUUUUUCAUAUUUGUUUUAUUUAUUAUUUUACUUACAAGUUAUAUAAAGUUAACACUAAAAUCUACUUUUUGACUUAUAUAAGUUAGUCUGUGGUUUAAUGCGUGAUUACAUCCACAUGAUUUCAAGUUUUUAAAAUAUAAAUAUUAUAACUGGCUUUAAAAACUCCAUUAAACUGUUAAAAGUGUAAUUUAUUUCAAAAUAAAUAUACAUAUAUAGGUAUAUAUUAAUAUCGAAAAACAUUUUUAUUCCUUAACACCAAUUUAAUCAUCACAUACAUAUGUAUAAACAUUUAUUUACGUUAUUUCAAAUGAAGACCACAGGAAAAACCAGCUUUGUUCAUUUUAACUGGAGCCGAGAAAAUGCAAUUACGAGUGAACUACUCUGGUUUUUCUCCUGUAGGG
rnacentral:lncRNA from 1 species